UACGAAGGGGGCUAGCGUUGUUCGGAAUCACUGGGCGUAAAGCGCACGUAGGCGGAUCUUUAAGUCAGGGGUGAAAUCCCGGAGCUCAACUCCGGAACUGCCUUUGAUACUGGGGAUCUCGAGUCCGGGAGAGGUGAGUGGAACUGCGAGUGUAGAGGUGAAAUUCGUAGACAUUCGCAAGAACACCAGUGGCGAAGGCGGCUCACUGGCCCGGAACUGACGCUGAGGUGCGAAAGCGUGGGGAGCAAACAGG
rnacentral:rRNA from 1 species